rnacentral:rRNA from 1 species
GGGGAAUAUUGCACAAUGAGCGCAAGCCUGAUGCAGCCAUGCCGCGUGUGUGAAGAAGGCCUUCGGGUUGUAAAGCACUUUCAGCGGGGAGGAAGGCGGUGAGGUUAAUAACCUUGUCGAUUGACGUUACCCGCAGAAGAAGCACCGGCUAACUCCGUGCCAGCAGCCGCGGUAAUACGGAGGGUGCAAGCGUUAAUCGGAAUUACUGGGCGUAAAGCGCACGCAGGCGGUCUGCCAAGUCGGAUGUGAAAUCCCCGGGCUCAACCUGGGAACUGCAUUCGAAACUGGCAGGCUAGAGUCUUGUGGAGGGGGGUAGAAUUCCAGGUGUAGCGGUGAAAUGCGUAGAGAUCUGGAGGAAUACCGGUGGCGAAGGCGGCCCCCUGGACAAAGACUGACGCUCAGGUGCGAAAGCGUGGGGAGCAAAC